rnacentral:rRNA from 1 species
AUUGAACGCUGGCGGCAGGCCUAACACAUGCAAGUCGAGCGGAUGAAGGGAGCUUGCUCCUGGAUUCAGCGGCGGACGGGUGAGUAAUGCCUAGGAAUCUGCCUGGUAGUGGGGGAUAACGUCCGGAAACGGGCGCUAAUACCGCAUACGUCCUGAGGGAGAAAGUGGGGGAUCUUCGGACCUCACGCUAUCAGAUGAGCCUAGGUCGGAUUAGCUAGUUGGUGGGGUAAAGGCCUACCAAGGCGACGAUCCGUAACUGGUCUGAGAGGAUGAUCAGUCACACUGGAACUGAGACACGGUCCAGACUCCUACGGGAGGCAGCAGUGGGGAACAUUGGACAAUGAGCGAAAGCCUGAUCCAGCCAUGCCGCGUGUGUGAAGAAGGUCUUCGGAUUGUAAAGCACUUUAAGUUGGGAGGAAGGGCAGUAAGUUAAUACCUUGCUGUUUUGACGUUACCAACAGAAUAAGCACCGGCUAACUUCGUG